rnacentral:rRNA from 1 species
UACAGAGGGUGCAAGCGUUAAUCGGAGUUACUGGGCGUAAAGAGCACGUAGGCGGUUGAUUAAGUCAGUUGUGAAAGCCCUGGGCUUAACCUGGGAACUGCAAAUGAUACUGGUUAACUAGAGUCGAAGAGAGGGAAGCGGAAUUUCCGGUGUAGCGGUGAAAUGCGUAGAUAUCGGAAGGAACAUCAGUGGCGAAGGCGGCUUCCUGGCUUCAGACUGACGCUGAGGUGCGAAAGCGUGGGGAGCAAAC